rnacentral:tRNA from 1 species
AGAGAUGUGGUUCAGUGGCAGAACACAUGCUUAGCCUACUUGAGGUUCUGAGUUCAAACCUCAGCACAUUCC